rnacentral:rRNA from 1 species
CAGCAGCCGCGGUAAUACGUAGGGUCCGAGCGUUGUCCGGAAUUACUGGGCGUAAAGAGCUCGUAGGUGGUUUGUCGCGUUGUUCGUGAAAACUCACAACUCAAUUGUGGGCGUGCGGGCGAUACGGGCAGACUGGAGUACUGCAGGGGAGACUGGAAUUCCUGGUGUAGCGGUGGAAUGCGCAGAUAUCAGGAGGAACACCGGUGGCGAAGGCGGGUCUCUGGGCAGUAACUGACGCUGAGGAGCGAAAGCGUGGGGAGCGAACAGGAUUAGAUACCCCCGUAGUCCCUGUCUCUUAUAC